GUAGUUAUUGUCGUCUCAACACUAAUCAAGGCAUGGGUGAAAGUGUCUUCAGGACGCACACCCUGACCUUAAAUAAAUGUCAAACUGAACUGCUGGGGAGAAAAAAAACAAAACAAGGAUAAAUACAUAAUAGAGAGAGACAAUCACUGUAACAGUGGAAACCUCUCUUGACCUCUGACCUCAAUCCUCUUGUCCACAAAGAGACACUUAACCUAAUGGUGAAAGCCGUGUGAUUGAAAAUGGAAAGAAAUGUACAUUUUUUUUUUCAUAACAGAACUGUUUUUUUUUAAUGUUUUUUUUUUUCAAAACAAGUUGAAAAAAAAAGUAACGCUUCUCACUCUUUGCCUAUCCCAGAAAUAUAAAAUUACAAAUAUCAAAGAAAAAUUGCAAAUUCUUUUGUAACGUAUACGUUUUAUUGAAUACGAAGAUAAUAUUUGUAUUUCUUAAGACACACAAAGUAGUCAUUGUUUCCAAAACAAAAUGUGGCAAGACUAGCUCCCAAUACAUUCAAUAACGUACAUUUGAAUCAACGGCAUUCUUUAAAUAACAUAUGUGUCUGAAAGGGACAUACUGGGAGCAAAUAUAUUUAGUACAGAAAAAUAAAUACUCGACUGAUCAAGAUUUCAACAAAAACAAGAAUUGUUAAUAAUACAAAAAAAAAGAGCAUAA